AGAUUGAACGCUGGCGGCAUGCUUUACACAUGCAAGUCGAACGGCAGCACGGGGGCAACCCUGGUGGCGAGUGGCGAACGGGUGAGUAAUGCAUCGGAACGUAUCCUUGAGUGGGGGAUAACGCGAGACGUAAAGUUGUGACUAACUACCGCAAUAAGCUCUGAGGAAGGAAAGGCCGGGGGAACCGAAACGGCCUCGCGCUAGG
rnacentral:rRNA from 1 species